GACGAACGCUGGCGGCGUGCUUAACACAUGCAAGUCGAACGAUGAAGCUGGAGCUUGCUCCGGUGGAUUAGUGGCGAACGGGUGAGUAACACGUGAGCAAUCUGCCCUUGACUCUGGGAUAACUGCGGGAAACUGUAGCUAAUACCGGAUACGAGGCUCGAAGGCAUCUUCGGGUUUGGAAAGAAUUUCGGUCAAGGAUGAGCUCGCGGCCUAUCAGCUUGUUGGUGAGGUAAUGGCUCACCAAGGCGACGACGGGUAGCCGGCCUGAGAGGGUGACCGGCCACACUGGGACUGAGACACGACCCAGACUCCUACGGGAGGCAGCAGUGGGGAAUAUUGCACAAUGGGCGAAAGCCUGAUGCAGCAACGCCGCGUGAGGGAUGAAGGCCUUCGGGUUGUAAACCUCUUUUAGCAGGGAAGAAGCGAAAGUGACGGUACCUGCAGAAAAAGCACCGGCUAACUACGUGCCAGCCGCCGCAGUAA
rnacentral:rRNA from 1 species